rnacentral:rRNA from 1 species
GGUUAAGCGACUAAGCGUACACGGUGGAUGCCCUGGCAGUCAGAGGCGAUGAAGGACGUGCUAAUCUGCGAUAAGCGUCGGUAAGGUGAUAUGAACCGUUAUAACCGGCGAUUUCCGAAUGGGGAAACCCAGUGUGAUUCGUCACACUAUCAUUAACUGAAUCCAUAGGUUAAUGAGGCGAACCGGGGGAACUGAAACAUCUAAGUACCCCGAGGAAAAGAAAUCAACCGAGAUUCCCCCAGUAGCGGCGAGCGAACGGGGAGGAGCCCAGAGCCUGAAUCAGUGUGUGUGUUAGUGGAAGCGUCUGGAAAGGCGCGCGAUACAGGGUGACAGCCCCGUACACAAAAAUGCACAUGCUGUGAGCUCGAUGAGUAGGGCGGGACACGUGGUAUCCUGUCUGAAUAUGGGGGGACCAUCCUCCAAGGCUAAAUACUCCUGACUGACCGAUAGUGAACCAGUACCGUGAGGGAAAGGCGAAAAGAACCCCGGCGAGGGGAGUGAAAAAGAACCUGAAACCGUGUACGUACAAGCAGUGGGAGCACAGAGCAAUCUGUGUGACUGCGUACCUUUUGUAUAAUGGGUCAGCGACUUAUAUUCUGUAGCAAGGUUAACCGAAUAGGGGAGCCGAAGGGAAACCGAGUCUUAACUGGGCGUUAAGUUGCAGGGUAUAGACCCGAAACCCGGUGAUCUAGCCAUGGGCAGGUUGAAGGUUGGGUAACACUAACUGGAGGACCGAACCGACUAAUGUUGAAAAAUUAGCGGAUGACUUGUGGCUGGGGGUGAAAGGCCAAUCAAACCGGGAGAUAGCUGGUUCUCCCCGAAAGCUAUUUAGGUAGCGCCUCGUGAAUUCAUCUCCGGGGGUAGAGCACUGUUUCGGCAAGGGGGUCAUCCCGACUUACCAACCCGAUGCAAACUACGAAUACCGGAGAAUGUUAUCACGGGAGACACACGGCGGGUGCUAACGUCCGUCGUGAAGAGGGAAACAACCCAGACCGCCAGCUAAGGUCCCAAAGUCAUGGUUAAGUGGGAAACGAUGUGGGAAGGCCCAGACAGCCAGGAUGUUGGCUUAGAAGCAGCCAUCAUUUAAAGAAAGCGUAAUAGCUCACUGGUCGAGUCGGCCUGCGCGGAAGAUGUAACGGGGCUAAACCAUGCACCGAAGCUGCGGCAGCGACGCUUAUGCGUUGUUGGGUAGGGGAGCGUUCUGUAAGCCUGUGAAGGUGUGCUGUGAGGCAUGCUGGAGGUAUCAGAAGUGCGAAUGCUGACAUAAGUAACGAUAAAGCGGGUGAAAAGCCCGCUCGCCGGAAGACCAAGGGUUCCUGUCCAACGUUAAUCGGGGCAGGGUGAGUCGACCCCUAAGGCGAGGCCGAAAGGCGUAGUCGAUGGGAAACAGGUUAAUAUUCCUGUACUUGGUGUUACUGCGAAGGGGGGACGGAGAAGGCUAUGUUGGCCGGGCGACGGUUGUCCCGGUUUAAGCGUGUAGGCUGGUUUUCCAGGCAAAUCCGGAAAAUCAAGGCUGAGGCGUGAUGACGAGGCACUACGGUGCUGAAGCAACAAAUGCCCUGCUUCCAGGAAAAGCCUCUAAGCAUCAGGUAACAUCAAAUCGUACCCCAAACCGACACAGGUGGUCAGGUAGAGAAUACCAAGGCGCUUGAGAGAACUCGGGUGAAGGAACUAGGCAAAAUGGUGCCGUAACUUCGGGAGAAGGCACGCUGAUAUGUAGGUGAAGUCCCUCGCGGAUGGAGCUGAAAUCAGUCGAAGAUACCAGCUGGCUGCAACUGUUUAUUAAAAACACAGCACUGUGCAAACACGAAAGUGGACGUAUACGGUGUGACGCCUGCCCGGUGCCGGAAGGUUAAUUGAUGGGGUUAGCGCAAGCGAAGCUCUUGAUCGAAGCCCCGGUAAACGGCGGCCGUAACUAUAACGGUCCUAAGGUAGCGAAAUUCCUUGUCGGGUAAGUUCCGACCUGCACGAAUGGCGUAAUGAUGGCCAGGCUGUCUCCACCCGAGACUCAGUGAAAUUGAACUCGCUGUGAAGAUGCAGUGUACCCGCGGCAAGACGGAAAGACCCCGUGAACCUUUACUAUAGCUUGACACUGAACAUUGAGCCUUGAUGUGUAGGAUAGGUGGGAGGCUUUGAAGUGUGGACGCCAGUCUGCAUGGAGCCGACCUUGAAAUACCACCCUUUAAUGUUUGAUGUUCUAACGUUGACCCGUGAUCCGGGUUGCGGACAGUGUCUGGUGGGUAGUUUGACUGGGGCGGUCUCCUCCUAAAGAGUAACGGAGGAGCACGAAGGUUGGCUAAUCCUGGUCGGACAUCAGGAGGUUAGUGCAAUGGCAUAAGCCAGCUUGACUGCGAGCGUGACGGCGCGAGCAGGUGCGAAAGCAGGUCAUAGUGAUCCGGUGGUUCUGAAUGGAAGGGCCAUCGCUCAACGGAUAAAAGGUACUCCGGGGAUAACAGGCUGAUACCGCCCAAGAGUUCAUAUCGACGGCGGUGUUUGGCACCUCGAUGUCGGCUCAUCACAUCCUGGGGCUGAAGUAGGUCCCAAGGGUAUGGCUGUUCGCCAUUUAAAGUGGUACGCGAGCUGGGUUUAGAACGUCGUGAGACAGUUCGGUCCCUAUCUGCCGUGGGCGCUGGAGAAUUGAGGGGGGCUGCUCCUAGUACGAGAGGACCGGAGUGGACGCAUCACUGGUGUUCGGGUUGUCAUGCCAAUGGCACUGCCCGGUAGCUAAAUGCGGAAGAGAUAAGUGCUGAAAGCAUCUAAGCACGAAACUUGCCCCGAGAUGAGUUCUCCCUGACUCCUUGAGAGUCCUGAAGGAACGUUGAAGACGACGACGUUGAUAGGCCGGGUGUGUAAGCGCAGCGAUGCGUUGAGCUAACCGGUACUAAUGAACCGUGAGGCUUAACCUU